AGGUUACUGCUAUCGGUGUUCGCCUAAGCCAUGCGAGUCAUAUGUUCGUAAGAACAUGGCGUACUGCUCAGUAACACGUGGAUAACCUGCCCUUGGGUCCGGCAUAACCCCGGGAAACUGGGGAUAAUUCCGGAUAACGCACAUAUGCUGGAAUGCUUUAUGCGUAAAAUGGAUUCGUCUGCCCAAGGAUGGGUCUGCGGCCUAUCAGGUAGUAGUGGGUGUAAUGUACCUACUAGCCUACGACGGGUACGGGUUGUGAGAGCAAGAGCCCGGAGAUGGAUUCUGAGACAUGAAUCCAGGCCCUACGGGGCGCAGCAGGCGCGAAAACUUUACAAUGCGGGAAACCGUGAUAAGGGGACACCGAGUGCCAGCAUCCUAUGCUGGCUGUCCGGGUGUGUAAAAUACACCUGUUAGCAAGGGCCGGGCAAGACCGGUGCCAGCCGCCGCGGUAACACCGGCGGCCCGAGUGGUGAUCGUGAUUAUUGGGUCUAAAGGGUCCGUAGCCGGUUUGGUCAGUCCUCCGGGAAAUCUGACAGCUUAACUGUUAGGCUUUCGGAGGAUACUGCCAGACUUGGAACCGGGAGAGGUAAGAGGUACUACAGGGGUAGGAGUGAAAUCUUGUAAUCCCUGUGGGACCACCUGUGGCGAAAGCGUCUUACCAGAACGGGUUCGACGGUGAGGGACGAAAGCUGGGGGCACGAACCGGAUUAUAUACCCGGGUAGUCCCAGCCGUAAACGAUGCACGCUAGGUGUCAGCAUGGCGCGACCGUGUCUGGUGCCGCAGGGAAGCCGUGAAGCGAGCCACCUGGGAAGUACGGCCGCAAGGCUGAAACUUAA
rnacentral:rRNA from 1 species